GGGGAUGUAGUUCAGUGGUAGAAUAUUUGCCUAGCAUGCACAAGAACCUGGGUUCCAUCCCCA
rnacentral:tRNA from 1 species